CGGCAGCACAGUAAGAGCUUGCUCUUAUGGGUGGCGAGUGGCGGACGGGUGAGGAAUACAUCGGAAUCUACCUUUUCGUGGGGGAUAACGUAGGGAAACUUACGCUAAUACCGCAUACGACCUUCGGGUGAAAGCAGGGGACCUUCGGGCCUUGCGCGGAUAGAUGAGCCGAUGUCGGAUUAGCUAGUUGGCGGGGUAAAGGCCCACCAAGGCGACGAUCCGUAGCUGGUCUGAGAGGAUGAUCAGCCACACUGGAACUGAGACACGGUCCAGACUCCUACGGGAGGCAGCAGUGGGGAAUAUUGGACAAUGGGCGCAAGCCUGAUCCAGCCAUACCGCGUGGGUGAAGAAGGCCUUCGGGUUGUAAAGCCCUUUUGUUGGGAAAGAAAAGCAGUCGGCUAAUACCCGGUUGUUCUGACGGUACCCAAAGAAUAAGCACCGGCUAACUUCGUGCCAGCAGCCGCGGUAAUACGAAGGGUGCAAGCGUUACUCGGAAUUACUGGGCGUAAAGCGUGCGUAGGUGGUUGUUUAAGUCUGUUGUGAAAGCCCUGGGCUCAACCUGGGAAUUGCAGUGGAUACUGGGCGACUAGAGUGUGGUAGAGGGUAGUGGAAUUCCCGGUGUAGCAGUGAAAUGCGUAGAGAUCGGGAGG
rnacentral:rRNA from 1 species